GAUACUGGCUGGCUGCUACCAUAACCUGAACAACCUUUAAAACAAACAAUUUAUACUGAAGGGAUGUUCUUGAACUCUGCAUCACCCAAGCACUCUGAAGUUAAUAAUCCUUCCUAAAGGUUUAUCGCAGUUUACAUCGUGUCACAAGAAAUUGACUAGUAUGACUCCAAACGUUGUCUUCAAAACACAAUUUCAACAUUUCGGUAAAAUCCGUUUGAAUAAAUGUUAUUGUCCAGCAGAGGACGCUGUUUGGUUACGGAUGCAAUUUUCUCUGUUUAUAUGCAAUGACUGAUACAAUUGAGUGUACUUUGAAAUCCCCUUCCAGACAUUAUUUUAUUUUAGGCUCAUUAGUGUGAAAUUUCAUUUUAAAUAGCAUAGCCUGACUCUGAAAACUUCACUGACAGCAUAAAUUCCUGCUCAGCUGUAUUAAGCAAAACACUCAAGCUUAAAUUCCAGAGACGCGUUGUGUCUUUUGACUGGUUGCUACCUGUAUUUUACAACAUAAUGGUAACUUUUGGGUAAUAUAACUGCUAUC